rnacentral:rRNA from 1 species
CACCUGACCCCAUGCCGAACUCAGAAGUGUAACGCCGUAGCGCCGAUGGUAGUGUGGGGUCUCCCCAUGUGAGAGUAGGGAACUGCCAGGC